rnacentral:rRNA from 1 species
CCUACGGGAGGCAGCAGUGGGGAAUAUUGGACAAUGGGCGCAAGCCUGAUCCAGCAAUGCCGCGUGAGUGAUGAAGGCCUUAGGGUCGUAAAGCUCUUUUACCAGGGAUGAUAAUGACAGUACCUGGAGAAUAAGCUCCGGCUAACUCCGUGCCAGCAGCCGCGGUAAUACGGAGGGAGCUAGCGUUGUUCGGAAUUACUGGGCGUAAAGCGUACGUAGGCGGUUAUUCAAGUCAGAGGUGAAAGCCCGGGGCUCAACCCCGGAACGGCCUUUGAAACUAGGUAGCUAGAAUCUUGGAGAGGUCAGUGGAAUUCCGAGUGUAGAGGUGAAAUUCGUAGAUAUUCGGAAGAACACCAGUGGCGAAGGCGACUGACUGGACAAGUAUUGACGCUGAGGUACGAAAGCGUGGGGAGCAAACAGGAUUAGAUACCCUGGUAGUCCACGCCGUAAACGAUGAUAACUAGCUGUUCGGGCACUUGGUGCUUGAGUGGCGCAGCUAACGCAUUAAGUUAUCCGCCUGGGGAGUACGGUCGCAAGAUUAAAACUUAAAUGAAAUUGAACGGUNUGAGAGUGCGAGACGACACGAGGAGAGG